rnacentral:misc_RNA from 1 species
UACGUAGGGGGCAAGCGUUGUCCGGAUUUAUUGGGUUUAAAGGGUGCGUAGGCGGCCCGUUAAGUCAGUGGUGAAAUCCCGGGGCUCAACCCCGGAACUGCCAUUGAUACUGGCGGGCUUGAGUUCGGUCGAGGCGGGCGGAAUUGGUGGUGUAGCGGUGAAAUGCAUAGAUACCAUCAAGAACCCCGAUUGCGAAGGCAGCUCGCUGGGCCGAAACUGACGCUGAGGCACGAAAGCGUAGGUAGCGAACAGG